rnacentral:rRNA from 1 species
UACGUAGGGUGCGAGCGUUGUCCGGAAUUACUGGGCGUAAAGGGCACGCAGGCGGGCUUUUAAGUGAGAUGUGAAAUCCCCGGGCUUAACUUGGGAAUUGCAUCUGAAACUGGUUGGCUAGAGUCUUGUAGAGGGGGGUAGAAUUCCAUGUGUAGCGGUGAAAUGCGUAGAGAUGUGGAGGAAUACCGGUGGCGAAGGCGGGUCUCUGGGCAGUAACUGACGCUGAGGAGCGAAAGCAUGGGGAGCAAACAGG